CUGUCCACCUUCCUUUGUCACCUUCUUCAUUUUUAGAAACCUCCAAGCCUUGACACCUUUUAAUCAAAUGAUGUUGCAUCAUUUUUGUGCAAAUACAUCUCUUUCUUUGCUCUUCUGCAUUUGUGCUCGAUAACCUGCAAAUCUUUAAUGUCUCAGUCAAAAAUCUCACCAAUUCGGGCAAGAACAGAGGAAAUCACGUGAAUCCGUCCAAACCUCCAACGUUCGGAUUCAAACGGAUAUGUUAACCGAAAUUUAAAAUUUGAAUUUGAAAAAUCCCUCUCAAGAACCCUAACUUCUAUCUAUAAAUACCGGCUCUGAAACUCAUUUAAGGGGAGCCCUAGAGCCGCCCACUUUUACCCCAAAGUCGAGAGUUUUCAGCCACCUCUAUUAAUGCAUUUCCUUUUCCUCUAAUUAAAAAACAAAGUUCUCUAGCUCUCUUUGUAUUUUUAGCCAUUACAAUGGUUUAUUUGCUUAUUCUGGCGACUACCGAUCGUCUAAGGUAGAGAGUUCGAAGUCGGAGUUCAAUAGUGCAUCUAAGACCCCGCCUCGGUUCGCUGCCCGCAAAAAGGCUUGAUCGACAAAGUGACGAAAUGUCAAAGAUCGGCUCAAAGGAGUGAAACCUGCUCAAGUACCAAAGAAAAGGCAAACUCAGGACAAAAAGGCCUAGUGCGGUCGCACUACACUUUGUGCAGUCCGCACUAGGGGAUUCAGAGAAGUAGCAAAUUAAGCUUCAAGGCAGUGCUGGCUGCAUCCGAUCUUGCGCACUCCGCACUGAAGGCUUCGCGACCGCACUACUAUUUUGUGCAGUCCGCGGAGGAGAAGAUUAGAGAGAUGUCCAGUGCCAACAUCAAACCCAUGUGGUACGCGGUCAUGUUUGUGCGGACUGCGCUAGUUGCCUCCGCGGCCGUGGUUCGCGGAGCCUGAGUUUAGAGAGCCAAGACCUAGUGCGGCCGCAGUCCAUUUUGUGCGGUCCUGAGUUUAGAGAAUGAAGUUGUGCUCGUGAGAAGCUGUGUAGCCAUUUUUGGCAUCUUAACUUAGAUUUAACAAUAGAUUCUCUGUAAAUACAUUAGCUUUUAAUUAAUUUCUUCAUCUAUUUUUUUAUUUUCUUCU